UACGUAGGGUGCAAGCGUUGUUCGGAAUUACUGGGCGUAAAGCGCACGUAGGCGGCUUUGUAAGUUAGAGGUGAAAGCCCGGGGCUCAACUCCGGAAUUGCCUUUAAGACUGCAUCGCUAGAAUUGUGGAGAGGUAAGUGGAAUUCCGAGUGUAGAGGUGAAAUUCGUAGAUAUUCGGAAGAACACCAGUGGCGAAGGCGACUUACUGGACACAUAUUGACGCUGAGGUGCGAAAAGCGUGGGGGAGCAAACAGG
rnacentral:rRNA from 1 species